AACUUUUUUUUUUUUUUUUUUUUUUUUUUUUACUGUGAAGGGAUUAAUUUUGUUUUAUUUUUAGUACUUGCUUGCCGUUCACUUUAAAAAGUAUCCUUUAGGCUUGUUAGUUUCAAAGGAAAUAAUAUAUUUCCUCUUGAUUUAAGAUGUCUAUGCUAUCAUUAGAUAUUAAUAGUAGAAAUAAUAGCAGGAUUGCCUGGUACAAAUUUGUCCUGUCCUUCUGACUAAGUAAUAGGGUGCAAAUGCUCCUUGCUGUGCUUCUGAUGAUGAAAUAGAAAUAACACUUCGCAUUUUACAACACAUUGUAUUUCAUAAAGCCUUUUACAUUCAUUACCUCAUUUAAUCAUCAAAAACAAUUUUGUGAAGUAGAUAGUAUUUUUCACAUUUAAGUGUGAGAACAUUGAUGCUCAAGGAAGCAAUGAUUCAGCUGAGGACACAGUGAGUGUCAGUGCCAGGACUUAAAUCUGUUUCUUCUCACUUUCCCUCUAGGGUCCUUCCCACAUCAUCACACUGUCUCCUUCUGUGCUUUGCUCUAUCCUGCUGCACCAACUAGCUAGUGUCUUUAGCAUACUACCUUAGAAUAGCUAACACUUACUGAACGCCCACUUUCUGCCAAACCCUGUCUUAAGCACUUACAUGUGUUACCUAAUUCAGUUCUUGAAACUGAUGUAUGAUAGGUAAUAUUAUUAUUUAUUUUUAUUUUUAUUGUUCUUUAGGUUCUGGGGUAUAUGUGUUGAUCAUGCAGGACUAUUGCAUAGGUACAUACGUGGCAAUGUGGUUUGCUGCCUCCAUCUAUUAUUAUCUCCAUUUUGCAAACAGAGAAACAUAGAAUUUAGAUAGCUUGUUCAGAAUGCCUAGCCAAUAAGUGUAAUAAGUAGGUCUCAAAUCUGGACAGUCUGUCUCGGGAAAUGCAUGCUUAACCACUGUCCUCUAUUGCCUCUUAAAUAACGAAAGCCAGUAAAGAUUUUAUAAAUGACUUUUCUCAUGAAUAAUAGGGCCUGAGGUGAGUUUCUCAAUAUCACUUAUGGCAAUAAGAAUUUCAGCAAUCAUAAUCUUGGUGCAUUUUCCAAAAAGGAUGGCUCCCUAUUGGGUAACACAAGCUGAAAUGUGUAUUCUGUUAGAAAUCGUUGAUUCCAGCCUAGGGAGGUAUCAAGAAUAAUGCUGUUGCCAUAAAGAUGUAAGUCUUGAGACAAACACUGGAGAGGUUCUGUCAUUCAAUCAACUAUACAAACAUUUAUUGAACACUUUUUAUGUUCAAAUGCUGUACCAAGUAUCUGAAUAAUGUUCACAUGAAGCUCAAAAUCUAAUAAAAAUACAUUUGAAUACAGAUACUUGGUAAAUUCUCUAAAAUUCACAAAGCUUCACCGACACGUGAAAUUUCUUUAAUAUGGAGAAAUUAAGGAAGGUUUAAUGAAAGUAGUAACAUUAGAGCUAAUCUUUGGGUAAAGAAGAGGAAAAGACAAAUUGUAGUGCAUAGUAUAACCGUAUAUAGGUUCUUUGGAGAUACCUCAUUGAGUAUAAAAUUUUCAGAACUCACCUUAUGAGUCAAUAGGAACUUUAUACACUGAUGAGAAUAAAGUGUGUCGUUUCAAAGUACACUGUCCGUGGCAUGAGAGUAACCACCACAUUGAUACUUGUUGAAGAAAAGUUCUCCUGGGUUCUUCCCAGUCUCCCCUCCUUGGGUGCCAAUUAGGCAUCUUACGAAGGACAAGUCGUCUUCCCUGUUCCGAAGAAUCGAUUUUUAUAGUUAUUUAUAUCUACUUUUCAUGAACAUGCAGUAUUCAUUUUGAUUAUUGUUAAAUCAAUAUAAAUUCUGAAUGAAUUUCUCUGACUUUUACUUUGCUUAUUAAGUUGGAGACUCAAGGGCAAUGCAGAUGAGAACUUCAGAUUCUUCCUUUGAGAAGAUUUUUGGUCAGUGGCUCUUUAAGAAGACCCAGAGCAGGUUGUGUAUACUUGGUAAAAUCAGAUACUUGGUAUAUACGGGGUUUUUUUUGUAACAUCAUGUGAGGAUUUUUUUAAUAUUGUUUUUUGAUUUUUCUCAUAAAAAUACAAGAUUAGCAGAGUGCUCACGUGGUAUUUUUGUGACAUUUCAUUAUACUGCCAUAAGGUGGGAAGUGGUGCCUUGGUUGUGGUUUUGUGAUUUGAGUUGCUAGGUUGCAGCAAAAAUGUGGUAAAAUUUCCCACCAUGAGGAUUUCUUUGCUGAAAUGUACUGCCCUUCUUAAAAAAGAAAAAAAAAAAAUAGCUGGAAGUGUUUUCCAAUGGAAAGUGACUAAUAAAGAAAUCAAUAAUGAAGGAAUAUUGUUAGACUGGCAAGAAUCACGACGACAAUGUUAAGAAAACAUUGUACAUAUUUAACUUAUUUAAUUUCUAGAUCCUCAAUAUCAUUAUUAAGAAGUUUAAUGAGUUUUGUUUACAGUUGUUUUUCAUUAAGUGUCCUCAUCAUACUUAGCUUAAAUUAUGUAUCUAAAUAUGUCUCCUCUAUGAAGUUUUUUGUGUUCAGAAUCAAGUGAUCCACUAAUUUCAUUAAGCAGUAGAUGUAUAUAUUUUGAUACAUAUCAAAGAUGAAGUGUAGCUCAGUUCCCAAAAAACCUACUAACUGAAAACUUCAGUUCAUGUAAUACGCCCAGCAUUCACCCUCGUGGAAUUUAGACAGGAGGGAUUGUGGCCUGUAUGUUUCACUAUUGGAACCUAUCUUAGUAAAAUUCAAAGAAUAGUUUCAUUAGUAAUUUCUUCAAAGAAAUCUGCUUCAAUUUAUUCAGAUGUUUUGUAGUCCCCCCUUUGUAUUGAAUAUAAAGCACCGAGUUAAAGAGGUAAAAAUACCACAAUGAACAAGAUAGUUUCCCUCCUCUGGGAUCUGGUGAAGAAAUAGAUAUGUAAAAACUGUAAAAAAUAAAAAAAAAAGUA